rnacentral:sRNA from 1 species
UUCUAUCAAUUUAAAACAUUGAAUAUACAAACACUCAUUCAAGAAAGGAGCGCAAUAUCAUGUUUUUUACACAAUGCACUGUUCAACAACAACAAAAUAUUAUUAUUUUAUUAUUGCGCUCAGGACUGGAGUAUUAGUAAGCUGACUUACUAAUCACUUAAGUCCUAUUUCUACUUGAAUGGGACUUAAAAG